ACCAUCCCCAUCUUCUUAAAAAGCCAGAGCCCCUUACAAAUUCCAAUUCCUGACGAAGGAGUCAGCAGUGGCCAUUACCAAACAAACUCUUUCGACUUCAAAAUUUCGGUUCCAAACUCCUUUUUGAUUCCUCAUCACGGAUCCAACGCUCGUUUUUCACAAAUCUACCUCUAUAUUUUUAGAUCUGAACUUGAAAUCCAAAGCUUCGAAUUGCCUUUUAGCCUCCACCACUGUUUGAUCUUUCUGAUUUUUUAGUAUGUUUCUACUCCGUCUUCGAUCUCCAUCUUCAACGAUUCAGAUCAUCCCAUGGUGUCCCAGGGAGUUGCACAGCACUAGGUCGAGGACUGUGAUUUUUUUUUUUUUUUGGAUCUGUUGCUUUUUGUUUUUUCGCGAUUUUGGCCUUUCAGGGGCUGAAGGGUCUUUUAGUAGCUUAGGCCUUUAGUUUCUUUCUCUCUUUCUUUUUUUUUUUUUUUGUCUAUGGCUGUGGAGUGCUGUUGAAGGUUUCGAUUUGGUUGAAAUGGUGGUUUGGGGAUGGUGAGGUUUGGUGCGUGGUGGCGAGGGUGUAACGUCUGGGUAAGGAGUGCAGAGGCUGGUCUAUGAGAGAGGCUGGAGCGAUCGCUUGUGGGUGAAGGGUGCGGGCGCCAAGACGUGGGGCUUACGCUAGGUGGUUCUAGGAUGCAGGUUUGGCUGGGUACGUGCACAUGGGGGUUUGGAGGUGGCGGGCCGAGGGGUGUCUGGGUGUAUUGAUGGGGCCUCUAGGGAGCUGGGUGUAAGGGUCUAGCAGGAAUGCUUGUAGGCACGGUACUGGUUGUGUCAAGGCCUUUGGUGCAGCUGAGGCUGGGCUAGUUUGUGAAGGCUAAAGCUUUUUGGGAAAGGAAAAACUAGCUGGGGACUUAGCCCCUUGUGGCGUGGAGUGGGCAGAGAAUGGGGAGUGUAUGGCAUUGGCUUGGCGCGCAGGUCUGAAUGGAGCAGAAGAGGUCUCUGACAUUGCCGGCCACAACCCUUUGUUUAAUUCUAUUUUUCU